UACGUAGGGCGCAAGCGUUGUCCGGAAUUAUUGGGCGUAAAGCGCUCGUAGGCGGUCUGUCGCGUCGGCUGUGAAAACCCGGGGCUCAACCCCGGGCCUGCAGUCGAUACGGGCAGACUAGAGUGUGGUAGGGGAGACUGGAAUUCCUGGUGUAGCGGUGGAAUGCGCAGAUAUCAGGAGGAACACCAGCGGCGAAGGCGGCGCUCUGGGCCGGAACUGACGCUGAGGAGCGAAAGCGUGGGUAGCAAACAGG
rnacentral:rRNA from 1 species